rnacentral:rRNA from 1 species
AUUGAACGCUGGCGGCAGGCCUAACACAUGCAAGUCGAGCGGAUGAAGGGAGCUUGCUCCUGGAUUCAGCGGCGGACGGGUGAGUAAUGCCUAGGAAUCUGCCUGGUAGUGGGGGAUAACGUCCGGAAACGGGCGCUAAUACCGCAUACGUCGUGAGGGAGAAAGUGGGGGAUCUUCGGACCUCACGCUCUCAGAUGAGCCUAGGUCGGAUUAGCUAGUUGGUGGGGUAAAGGCCUACCAAGGCGACGAUCCGUAACUGGUCUGAGAGGAUGAUCAGUCACACUGGAACUGAGACACGGUCCAGACUCCUACGGGAGGCAGCAGUGGGGAAUAUUGGACAAUGGGCGAAAGCCUGAUCCAGCCAUGCCGCGUGUAUGAAGAAGGUCUUCGGAUUGUAAAGCACUUUAAGUUGGGAGGAAGGGCAGUAAGUUAAUACCUUGCUGUUUUGACGUUACCAACAGAAUAAGCACCGGCUAACUUCGUG